UUUUUUUACUAUAAUGACUGUAUUUCAUUAUUGCUAAUAAAAUAUUUUAGUACAGAUUUCCUUUUGCUUGUCUUUGAGAUUUAAAACUUACUAGAUAACUAUACUUGGUUUCUAAAAAUUGUCAAUAUAAAUAGUAGACACAAUUUAAUAGUAUAUUCAUUUUUAUCUAGAGGACCCUUUGAAAUAAUGCAGUGAUUGUUAGAAUUAAAUUUGAUUUUCUCUUUCAGAAAUAACUACCCUGUUUCUAGAACUGACCUCUUUUUUUACUUUGUUCUUGCUGUUCCAUUUAACUAGAUCUUUAAUCAAAUCACUACCUUUUGGGGAUAGAAAUUGUUAAAUAAUUAUUGAAUAUUUAAUAUGUUAAAAGCAAUGAUUUUAGUUUUGUGGCAAAUACAAAGAAGUCCUUGCUUUCAAAGUUUUUUUUUUCCCAUUUACAAAUAAGAUAGAAGCUUGUCAGUUUAUUAUAAAAGAUAUGAAAAUUUAAGAUUAUAAAAGAAGCUGUUAGAAGGCACAAAAACUGGUGAAUUGUUAAUGGUCCCAAUAUUAAAUGUGUUUAGAAUUCAGAGAUUUUUUAGGCAAAGCUAUAUUUGUAAGGGAAUGUAGGAUUUUAUAAAGAGAUAGGAGUGGGUAGUAUGUUCCAGGUAAAGAAAAGGAUUGAGCAAAAUUGGAGAGUUGGAAAGAAUAAGGGAUACCAUAGGAAGUAUAUUAGUAUAUAUUGAACAGACAAUUCUUAUGGGAAGAUAGUAGGGAAUAGGGAUGGGGGGAGGUAUGUAGGGGGGAUUUGUGGGUUCUUAGAUCUUGAGCCAAAGUGGUUUUUAUUCUGUAGGUCAUUGUUUUUAACUGUAAAUCAUGUAUUCGAAUGGAAUUGUAACCACAAGUUCACUGUACUGUGCUAGAGUUGGAGGAAGAAUGGAAAUAACUCUUGUCCUCAGCUCCUAGCUAUAAUUCUCCUUGAGUUCCAUGAAAUAUGGGUCAGCCCUGCCCCAGGUCUCUGCAGAAAAUGGAUGAAACACUUUGUUCUAGAUCAUUGGUAACCAUAAAAAUUUUUUAAAUUUUUGAUCAAGGCUAAGGAAUAUUAUGCAAAUCUUUUGAAAUGGUAUUCAAGAAGACUUAGUUGGCAGGAGAGGUUAAACCAUAGGGUGGGCUGUCACAUUACUUGAGAUACGGAGCAUUAAGGUCUUGAACCAUAGUAGAGGGACUACAAAGAAAAGACUGAAGAGACAUUUCAGUGGCAGAAAUGAUCAGGCUCUUUGAUUAAAUAAUGGAGAAGUAAAUGAAGAAUCAAAGGGGGAUAGAACUGCUAUUGAACACUAUCUUUGUUAAAGACUUGGUCAUAGGUUCUGUGGAGAAAUUAUAGAGGACUUCGCUUUUAAGAAGCUGUAAUCUAGUGAUAGAAACAUGAUCAAAACAGGCAAAUCUGCUUCUGUGGUCUAUUUUGCAUAGACUUAGGGUUCUACCAGAACAACUUUACAUACUUUGGGGUUCUGGGCAAGAUUUUGUGUGUGUAUGCACAUGAGUUUUAAACUUCCCUUGCUAAUAAUUAAAAAAAAAAAAAAAAAUCCAAAACUUUGUUUCGUUAUGUUUAUUCAGUUGUAUAGAGAAAAGCCUUUCUUGCUAAUGUGAUAGAUUUCAUUAAAUAAGUGAGUGUUUACUCCAUGCCAGGCAUUAUGUAGUGAACAAAGUGGUUUCAGUCCCUGUCUUCAAGAUGAAAGAAAGUUAUUAGUGCAGUAUGGUAAGUUACGAUAGGGUACUACUGAAGAGCAUCGAGUAAAAGUUGACAGCAUAAGUUCUGGGGCCAGUUUACUUGGGUUAGGGUCCCAUCUUUGCCAUUUACUUGCCAUGCGACCUUGGGCAAAUUGUGGAGCUUUUCUGCGCCCCUGUUUUCUUUUUUAUAAAUUGUGUAUAGCCUUGAGAUUUUUCUUUAGUAAGUGCUCAGCAAGGUCAGUAUAGAAUGGGCAUCCUGGAUUUUCUCCUGGGUUAAAGUUUUGCUUAGGGAUCUAUGUUCAGACAACAGUGGGGCAAAGGAAUUUUGGAAAUAGCUAAGAGAUUGAUUAAAGUGAUAAGCCAUAUUGUUUAGGGAAGAAAAUAAAAGCAGGAGGAGGGUGCUAAUGCAGACAAAUGAAUAUAGUCAAGAUCAAUGUACAAUAAUGAUAUAAUGUGAGUUAAUUAGAAGAAUGCUGUAGAAAGUUAUGGUCAUGAUGUUUUAUUUCAGGCAAAUUGUGGGAAUAGUUUUAGUGAUAGCAAGGUCCAGAAUGUUGCUAUGGGAAUUGGUCUGAGAAGUGGGAAUGGAUAGGACAAGGAAUACAAGGAACUGAGGCUACAGCUUGAGAGGAGUUGUCCAUGAGGAAAUUUGUAUCAUUAUCAUUAAUUGUAUCAAGAUAUCAUUAUCUUGAUAAUGGCAGGAUUUUGGAGGACGAUUACUGUCUAAAUGAUGGUUCUACCUAGAACAGAUUUUUCAUGUAUUUGCAAAAAUGUUAGUAUAAAAAGAGUACUUAAGAAAAAUUCACUAGAUUAUUAAAAAAAAAGAUUAUAUGUAUUCUAUAUUCUUGUAAGAAUAUAUUACAAGUGGGGAUGUGCUUCAAAUUUUUACUUUAAUCAGUAUAACCUCUUAACUACCGUUGACCCAUGAACAAUGUGGGGAUUAGGAGUCCUGACCUCUGUGUAGUGUGAAGUCUGUGUAUAACUUUGACUCCCCAAAACUUAACUGCUAAUAGCCUACUGUUGACCAGAAGCCUUACCAGUAAAAUAGCCAGUAAACACGUGUUUUGCAUGUGACAUGUAUUAUAUACUGUAUUCUCACAAUAAAGUAACUAGAGGAAAGAAAACAUAGAUUCUUUUCAGUGUUCUAAGUAUAUCUUGAACUGUAGUUGGUUCAGUCAACUCAUUUUGUGGUGGUUUUGGGGUAGAAAAAAAUGAGUAAAUGGAAAAUGUAAAUAGUAGUUGAUUUAUAAUUUCUCUUGUUAAAUCUUUAUUUUUUGUUUUUUUUUUUUAAAGUUGUUUAAUGGGUAGAAAAGUAAGAUAACACUAAUUUAUGGACAUGGUGAUGCACCUUGCCGUUAUUAGGAACACUGUAGGAAGAGGAAAGAGGAAGAACUGCAGAAGUAUCUUCCUCUCUGAACUAUUAGGAGUUCUUUCUGCUUCGUGCAUACUUUUGUUUUUCUAUGGUAAAAAUUUUAUUGGAAGAAAUAAA